UACGUAGGGGGCAAGCGUUGUCCGGAAUCAUUGGGCGUAAAGCGCGCGUAGGCGGCCCUGUAAGUCCGUUGUGAAAGUCAAAGGCUCAACCUUUGAAAGCCGAUGGAUACUGCAGGGCUAGAGUCCGGAAGAGGCGAGUGGAAUUCCUGGUGUAGCGGUGAAAUGCGUAGAUAUCAGGAGGAACACCGGUGGCGAAGGCGGCCCUCUGGACGGUGACUGACGCUGAGACGCGAAAGCGUGGGGAGCAAACAGG
rnacentral:rRNA from 1 species